rnacentral:rRNA from 1 species
GUGGGGAAUCUUCCACAAUGGACGAAAGUCUGAUGGAGCAACGCCGCGUGAGUGAAGAAGGGUUUCGGCUCGUAAAGCUCUGUUGUCGGGGACGAAUGUGCAGUAUUUGAAUAAAGUACUGCAAUGACGGUACCUGACGAGGAAGCCACGGCUAACUACGUGCCAGCAGCCGCGGUAAUACGUAGGUGGCAAGCGUUGUCCGGAAUUAUUGGGCGUAAAGGGAGCGCAGGCGGGAAGGUAAGUCGGUCUUAAAAGUGCGGGGCUCAACCCCGUGAUGGGAUCGAAACUAUCUUUCUUGAGUGCAGGAGAGGAAAGUGGAAUUCCUAGUGUAGCGGUGAAAUGCGUAGAUAUUAGGAGGAACACCAGUGGCGAAGGCGGCUUACUGGACUGUAACUGACGUUGAGGCUCGAAAGCGUGGGGAGCAAACAGGAUUAGAAACCCCGGUAGUCC